GACGAACGCUGGCGGCGUGCUUAACACAUGCAAGUCGAACGAAGAGCGAUGGAAGCUUGCUUCUAUCAAUCUUAGUGGCGAACGGGUGAGUAACGCGUAAUCAACCUGCCCUUCAGAGGGGGACAACAGUUGGAAACGACUGCUAAUACCGCAUACGAUCUGACCUCGGCAUCGAGGAUAGAUGAAAGGUGGCCUCUACAUGUAAGCUAUCACUGAAGGAGGGGAUUGCGUCUGAUUAGCUAGUUGGAGGGGUAACGGCCCACCAAGGCGAUGAUCAGUACCCGGUCUGAGAGGAUGAACGGCCACAUUGGGACUGAGACACGGCCCAGACUCCUACGGGAGGCAGCAGUGGGGAAUCUUCCGCAAUGGACGAAAGUCUGACGGAGCAACGCCGCGUGAGUGAUGACGGCCUUCGGGUUGUAAAGCUCUGUUAAUCGGGACGAAAGGCCUUUUUGCGAAUAGUGAGAAGGAUUGACGGUACCGGAAUAGAAAGCCACGGCUAACUACGUG
rnacentral:rRNA from 1 species